GGGACAUCGACUGCUAACGAAAUGAGCCGCAAACUGGUGGCUCAUUUAAUCAAAGGAGAAGAUAGUACCCGACUUUAGUGCCGAGUAUCAAUUUCUUGCUGCUCCCUUCAAGGUAGAUGGAAAAGCUCGGCAUAGGAUGGCAUCUGGCAUACCAUGGAGCAGCAUCAUUGUCCGGAAGGCCUCCAGGUGGUCAACUGGAUCUGAGGUCCCAUCGUAGCUUUCAAAUUGGGGGAGCUUGAAGAUCGACGGGAUCGAUUCCUACAUAAUUCUUUGAGAAAAAGGAGGAUCAGUACAGAUAUCCUCACCGUAAGUAGGGGGAGCAUGGUGGAGCUCUUCGAUCCGUCGGUUCAUC
rnacentral:lncRNA from 1 species